UACGUAGGGGGCUAGCGUUGUCCGGAAUCAUUGGGCGUAAAGCGCGCGUAGGCGGCCAGAUAAGUCCGGUGUGAAAGUCACAGGCUCAACCUGUGAAUGCCGCUGGAAACUGUCUGGCUAGAGUCCGGAAGGGGCGAGUGGAAUUCCUGGUGUAGCGGUGAAAUGCGCAGAUAUCAGGAGGAACACCUAUUGCGAAGGCAGCUCGCUGGGACGUAACUGACGCUGGGACGCGAAAGCGUGGGGAGCAAACAGG
rnacentral:rRNA from 1 species